GAUGAACGCUAGCGGGAGGCUUAACACAUGCAAGUCGAGGGGUAACAGGGGUAGCAAUACCUGCUGACGACCGGCGUACGGGUGAGUAACGCGUAUGCAACCUGCCCUAUACAGGAGGAUAGCCCGGAGAAAUUCGGAUUAAUACUCCAUGUAGCAUUUUUUUCGCAUGAAUUAGAUGUUAAAGAUUUAUCGCUUCGGGAGGGGCCUGCGUCUGAUUAGCUAGUUGGUGAGGUAAAAGCUCACCAAGGCGACGAUCAGUAGCUGGUUCGAGAGGAUGACCAGCCACACUGGGACUGAGAUACGGCCCAGACUCCUACGGGAGGCAGCAGUGAGGAAUCUUCCACAAUGGACGAAAGUCUGAUGGAGCAAUACCGCGUGCAGGAAGACGCUUUUCGGAGUGUAAACUGCUUUUGUCGUCGAAGAUUAUGACUGUAGACGAAGAAUAAGGACCGGCUAACUACGUG
rnacentral:rRNA from 1 species